UUGGAGGGCAAGUCUGGUGCCAGCAGCCGCGGUAAUUCCAGCUCCAAUAGCGUAUAUUAAAGUUGUUGCAGUUAAAAAGCUCGUAGUUGAAUUUCGGGGUCAAUAGGUUGGUCGUGCCAAUGGUAUGUACUGGCUUUAUUGAUUCCUACCUCUUGAAGAACUGUGAUGCCAUUAAAUUGGUGUUGCAGGAAAUCAGGACUGUUACCUUGAAAAAAUUAGAGUGUUUAAAGCAGGCUUACGCUUGAAUACAUUAGCAUGGAAUAAUGAAAUAGGACGUUUGAACCUAUUUUGCUGGUUUCUAGGAUCGACGUAAUGAUUAAUAGGGAUAGUUGGGGGCAUUAGUAUUCAAUUGUCAGAGGUGAAAUUCUUGGAUUUAUUGAAGACUAACUACUGCGAAAGCAUUUGCCAAGGAUGUUCUCAUUAAUCAAGAACGAAAGUUAGGGGAUCGAGGACGAUCAGAUACCGUCGUAGUCUUAACCAUAAACUAUGCCGACUAGGGAUCGGAUGAUGUUAAUUUUUUAAUGACUCAUUCGGCGCCUUACGGGAAACCAAAGUGUUUGGGUUC
rnacentral:rRNA from 1 species